AGAGGCAGUGUACUGGAGUUUGGAACCAGAAAGACGAAUUACCUAUUGAAGUGGACCUUGGUAAAAAGUGCUGGUAUCAUUCCAUAUUUGCCUGUCCCAUUCUUCGUCAGCAAACAACAGAUAACAACCCACCCAUGAAAUUGGUUUGUGGUCAUAUUAUAUCAAGAGAUGCCCUGAAUAAAAUGUUUAAUGGUAGCAAAUUAAAGUGUCCAUAUUGCCCAAUGGAACAGAGUCCAGGAGAUGCCAAACAGAUAUUUUUCUGAAGAAUGAGUUUGUUUGCAAUUUGUAAGUGAAACUGAAUUAAGGGUACACUCGAGACAAGAGUAUUCAUUGACUGCAGCUGUCCAAGGACUGCCUAUUCAUAAGCUAUGCUCCAGAAGCUGCCAGCUCGCUCGUGUACACGGAGGGCGUGCUCCAGAUGGGUAUUACACAGGGCUUUAUUCACUCUUGGUCUUCGUUUCUGAUCAAGUAAACACACCAGCAGUUGUCAUUCAGUGCAGGUUUUUGUACUUACUAUAUGGUGAUUUUUUUUUACUUAAAAGCAGAAACAGAAGUUGACCUUCCUGACAUGUGUUUAAUAUUCCUCCUGCUUUUACAAAUUCUGACAUUUUCUUGAUAAUUGUAAGCUUGAGAGUGUUUGUGGAAGAACUUUCUUUCUUCUCAUGUAUACAUAAUUAAAUGAAAAGUCUUCAUAGGAGUUUGGUUAUAAAACGAAUUUGCUUUUUUGUUAUUGUUUUGUUUUUCUUUUUCGGCCUAAGGAAGAAAGCUGUGGUGAAUUCCAAAUUUGCAUAGCUUUUGAUGUUUUACUCUGCCCCAGCUCCUGCUUCAGAGUCAGCACACCUGCAUUGAGUUCUGAGUUCUUUCUGUAGCCUGGCAGUCUGCCUGUUUAAAAAUCCCAUCAUGAAUUUAGCAGGCUAAUGUGAGAAUGAAAUAGAUAUUACUGGGUUUUUGUUGUUGUUUGUUUGUUUUGCUUUUAUUACCAAGAGGUGCUUUUUAAUAAAUGGAAUUCUGAAGUUAGGGUGUUACUAUUUGAUAUAUGGUUUCACAGUCUUAGCACACUGUCCUUUGAAAUCUGCCUUUAAGACUUGGCUGAGUAUUGCGGUAGUUUAUCAUCACAGAUGCGCAGUGUUAUGCAUGUGUAUGCAAGUAUGUGCACCAGCAUCAAACAUUGCGUAUGUGGAAGGGAAGAAGCAUGUUCCAUUCUAAAUGCAGUUGCCAAUCUCACCACUUCAGGUCCUUAAGGGUAGACACUAGCAACUUUCUGUUAUGGACCUUGUUUACUGCUCGUUUGUGUUUAAUUAGUAUAUUGUUCAUGCCUCUCUUCUGCAGUGUCUCAUCUCAUUGACUGUGAACCUGUAUAUUGCUCAAAUGGCUACAGAUAAUGAUCUUUUCUUUUGUGAGGUCUCUUCAUUUAAUGCACUGCCCAUAAAGAGCCAUGUGUAAGAGUUAUUCUCUGUAUGAGGAACUAAUUACAUGGAAAAGACUUCUGUGGACAUAAUUCUGACUUAAACCCAUGAAAUACUUCAUCUUGAGAAGAGUGCUGUGUGGAAAUCACCAAAUAACUCACAACCUUAUUUCAUCUGAUGUAGAUCUGAACACCAACAUAUGAAAACUGUCAUAAGAAAAUGAAAAACCAUAAACACAGAAGCAACAAGAAAUGAGACUCUUAUUUUAAACUACGAUGGACUCUGUUUAAGGGAAUGGGGAUAACAGCUUUGGUGCUAAGUUAAUCAGAAAUUUCCAGCAUUCACAGUGGUAUGCUAGCCUGGAUGGUCUCUCCUGAAAUGUUUGCCUAGGAGAGCUGGUAUUUGCUUGUGAAAGAAGGAAGAAGUAUUGCAGAAAAACCCAAGAAAUGACCACAUGGUCAGUUUCAUGGUGAUGGCUAUUGUGUACUGUGUAGGUUACCUGGGUCAAGAUUGGUCCAGCUUAGAGUGCAUGCUUUGUUCAAACCCAAGCCUGGCUCACAAUGACUUGUGCAUCACUCACUGUCAGGAUGCUCUGUAAAGUCCCUCAGGCCCCAUGAAGCAGGGAAAGAACAGAGGUGCCUCUAGCCUGCAAGAGAAAGGGCCAGGCAAGAUCCUGUGGAGGGAGGGAGGCAGGAUGUGAACUCGUUUACUAUGGGUAUUUUUUCCUUUGAAUUAAAUUCUAGAGUGUCAGGCUUUUUUUUUUAACUUUGUUAUUCCUAAGCCAAAUUUAGUUUUUAGGUUUCCUUCUCCUCCCAUCCCCCCAAUAACUUAUUCUUAUCUUCCCACCUCAAGCAUCUACAUGACAUUUAGACUUCACAUGAAGUUUAUGUGAUACACACAUGCUCUUGAGGUUGGUGGAAAGUGGUUUUGGAAGUAAGACCCUUCACACAAUUGGCUCAGGCCAUUUUAAGGACGAGGGCUCUGCCUGGUCCUCCUGGUGCCGGGCAUCUCUUUGACAGUCUCUUGUGAAGCUCAUGAAACUUUAAAAAGAAUGAGCUUUAACAAGUGUUUGACCCUACAGCUUCCUCUGUAAGGCCUUAUAGUCCCAGUGGGCGGGCAGGACAAAGGCCCAAAACUGAAACUUGAUCUUAAAAUUUACCAUGGAAAGGAGGUCUUAGGCUCUUCUUUAAAUGUGUGUGCUUUAUCUGUAAGAGACUGACUAGCAGAAGUGGAUUCAAAGAAGACAGACCUUGACCAAAGAUGCUGAAGUACAAUAUUGGGGUCCUUGUACUCUAGACCCAUGCCAUCACGGUGUCAUGCUCAAGCUUGCAUGCAGGAGGAUGCCUUGUUAGAAAACGUGAUGUUAGCGGAAGACUGUCGGUCACACAGAUGACAGGCAUUGGAAACAGCCACGCCAUGGCUUCUUUGAGAGCUGCUUCCUUUUUCUGGUUGUGGACAAGGCUGCCUUAGGACUCUGCUAAACCAACAAAACCUUUAGAAUCUGGUGGAGCCAGAGCCUCUCCACAGUGGCUAAAGUUGUCAUUGAUCUUUUCUCUUCUCCUUUGUGUGAUCAUCACAGAUGCCAUUUCUGUUUUAUUGAUGAUUAUAUGAGACUUUUAAUACAUAAAUGAACGGGUAUUGGUGCCUCUUUAUUUUUAAAAGUUUGAAGAAAAAG
rnacentral:lncRNA from 1 species